GCUUACGACCAUAUCACGUUGAGAACACCGGUUCUCGUCCGAUCACCGAAGUUAAGCAACGUCGAGNCGAGUCAGUACUUGGGAGGGAGACCACUUGGGAACACUCGGUGUCGUAGGCU
rnacentral:rRNA from 1 species